CCCUAUCGGCCUUCCUCUUCCCACCGAACCGGGCCGAGCCCAUGGUGAGAGCAGAUCCAGCCCAAGCUCCCCUGCACUAUUGGGCCACCUAAGUUUCGGCCCAUGUAUUUUUUUUUCAGCGUUUGCGAAUUUUGUCUUUACUCCAGAGACAGCAGUUUUUGCAGAAAACCCCCUAGACUUCAUGCAUCUAAUAACUAAUUAACUGUGCAUCGGAUCUAAAUAAAUUAUGUAUGAAACUUGCUUAGAAUUUUGUCUAGUUUCAAACUUUUCAACUUUCAUCUAUGUUUUAAAUGUUUAAAAUGAUGUUUGUUUAAAUUUGCUUAAAUAACUUGCUAAAAUGAUUUAAUUCAUAACUAAUUAACCGUAGCUCGGUUCUAAACAAACUUUAUAUGUAAAUGGGGUAGAAAAAUGCCUAGUUUAACAUGGUGCUUUCAUCUUGCAUGUUUAACAACCCUAAAAUUGUGUUUAGGGCAGAACAGUACCAAACCUAAUAUAUGCAUAUGAGGAGUUUCCGGACUUGUUGUUUUGUUGUUCCGGCCUCAUUUAAACUUGCCUAGAUUAGAUAGUUUCAUCAUGCUUCACCUCUUGCCAUGCUAACAACAUUUAAUCUUGUUGGGUACAUAAACGAGAGAGAACUAAAUAAGUCUAGUGGUGUUUUCUUCAAUAUGCAACUCCGUUGCAUAAUGAGCUCCACUUAAUUUGUAGGAUUGUUUAUACUCUUUGCCAUGCCAUGCCAUGCCUCAUUAAACUGGACAUGCAUCAUACUUGUUUGCGCAUCGUGCCAUGCUUAUGUGGUGGUUGUUUACUAUGGUGUUUGCUUUCUUUCUGGUGUACUUCGUCUCGGUAAUCCGGUAACGUCGUGUUGUGAGGAUUCGUUCGACUACGUCCGUUUGUCUUCUUCAUGGACUCAUUCUUCUUCCUUGCGGAAUCUCAGGCAAGAUGACCAUACCCUCGAAAUCACUUCUAUCUUUGCUUGCUAGUUGCUCGCUCUUUUGUUAUGCCUAUGCUGCGAUACCUACCACUUGCUUAUCAUGCCUCCCAUAUUGUUAAACCAAGCCUCUAACCCACCUUGUCCGAGCAAACCGUUGUUUGGCUAUGUUACCGCUUUGCUCAGCCCCUCUUAUAGUGUUGUUAGUUGCAGGUGAAGAUUUGAAGUUUGUUCCUUGUUGGAACAUGGUUAUUUUGUUGGGAUAUCACAAUAUCUCUUAUUUAAUUAAUGCAUCUAUAUACUUGGUAAAGGGUGGAAGGCUCGGCCUUAUGCCUGGUGUUUUGUUCCACUCUUGCCGCCCUAGUUUCUGUCAUAUCGGUGUUAUGUUCCUGGAUUUUGUGUUCCUUACGCGGUUGGGUUAUAAUGGGAACCCCUUGAUAGUUCGCCUUGAAUAAAACUCCUCCAGCAAUGCCCAACCUUGGUUUUACCAUUUGCACUAACAACCUACCACCUUCCCUUGGGUUCUGCAGACUCAACGGUCAUCUUUAUUUUAACCCCCCCGGGCCAGUGCUUCUCUAAGUGUUGGUCCGAACCGAGCUGCCUACGGGGCCACCUCGGGGAAACUUUAUGGUUGGUUUUACUCGUAGCUAGUCUCAUCUGAGUGUGCCCUGAGAACGAGAUAUGUGCAGCUCGUAUCGGGAUUUGUCGGCACAUUCGGGCGGUGUUGCUAGUCUUGUUUUACCAUUGUCGAAAUGUCUUGUAACCUGGAUGCCGAGCCUGGUCGGAUUGUCUUGGGAGAAGGAAUAUCCUUUGUUGACCGUGAGAGCUUGUGAUGGGCUAAGUUGGGACACCCCUGCAGGGAUUUGAACUUUCAAAAGCCGUGCCCGCGGUUAUGGGCAGAUGGGAAUUUGUUAAUGUCUGGUUGUAGAAAACCUGAAGUUGACCUUAAUUAAAAUACAUCAACCGCGUGUGUAACUGUGAUGGUCUCUUUCCGGCGGAGUCCGGGAAGUGAACACGGUGUUGGAGUUAUGCUUGACGUAGGUUGUUCUAGGAUCACUUCUUGAUCAUAGUUGUUCGACCGUGCUUUGCCUUCUCUUCUCGCUCUCAUUUGCGUAUGUUAGCCACCAUAAAUGCUAGUCGCUUGAUGCAGCUCCACCUCAUACCUUUUACCCUUCCAAUAAGCUUAAAUAGUCUUGAUCGCAAAGGUGUGAGAUUGCUGAGUCCCCGUGACUCACAGAUACUUCCAAAACCAGUUUGCAGGUGCCGUUGAGACGUGCAGGUGACGCAACCAAGCUCAAGGAGGAGCUCGAUGAAGACCUUGUCCUUUGUGUUGUUUCGUUCCAGUUGAUCAGUAGUAGAGCCCAGUUGGGGUCGAUCGGGGAUCUAUGUAGCAUUUGGGGUAGUCUUCUUUUAUUUUGGGUUCCGUAGUCGGACCUUGAUUGUAUCUGGUUGAUGUAAUGCUUUAUUCUUGUAUUGUGUGAAGUGGCGAUCGUAAGCCAACUAUGUAUCUCUUUCCCGUAUGUAUUACAUGGGUUGUGUGAAGAUUACCUCACUUGCGACAUUGCUUUCAAUGCGGUUAUGCCUCUAAGUCGUGCUUCGACACGUGGGAGAUAUAGCCGCAUCGAGGGUGUUACAAG
rnacentral:lncRNA from 1 species